rnacentral:lncRNA from 1 species
UUAUCCGGGCUCACGAAAGGUAUGUUACAGAUUUUAUGUUGGCAUAUUUCGUAAAGUUAGUCGGAGUUUUGAAUGUUUGAAGAAGAAGAGAUGAAGAUCAAAGACUCGAAGACUCAAAACAUGAAUGCACAAUGCUCGGUAAGUUUAAAUACCAUUGAUGAUGAUUUAUAAAUGUUUAAAAGUGUUUGGAAGACUUAGAUUGUAUUAAAAUGCUAAAUCUGAACGUUUUAGUGUUCUGGGACCGGUCCCUGAGAUGAGAGA